rnacentral:rRNA from 1 species
UGGGGAAUUUUGGACAAUGGGCGAAAGCCUGAUCCAGCAAUGCCGCGUGUGCGAAGAAGGCCUUCGGGUUGUAAAGCACUUUUGUCCGGAAAGAAAUACGCCUGGUUAAUACCCGGGCGGGAUGACGGUACCGGAAGAAUAAGCACCGGCUAACUACGUGCCAGCAGCCGCGGUAAUACGUAGGGUGCGAGCGAUAAUCGGAAUUACUGGGCGUAAAGCGUGCGCAGGCGGCGAUGCAAGACAGGUGGGAAAUCCCCGGGCUUAACCUGGGAACUGCACUUGUAACUGCAUGGCGAGAGUGCGUCAGAGGGGGGUGGAAUUCCGCGUGUAGCAGUGAAAUGCGUAGAGAUGCGGAGGAACACCGAUGGCGAAGGCAGCCCCCUGGGAUGACACUGACGCUCAGGCACGAAAGCGUGGGGAGCAAACAG